rnacentral:rRNA from 1 species
GUAGAGUUCGAUCUGGCUCAGGACGAACGCUGGCGGCGUGCCUAACACAUGCAAGUCGAACGGAGAUAGAGAGCUUGCUCUCUAUUCUUAGUGGCGGACGGGUGAGUAACGCGUGAGCAACCUGCCUUACAGAGGGGGAUAGCCAUUGGAAACGAUGGAUAAUACCGCAUAACGUAUUCGUAUGGCAUCUUAUGAAUACCAAAGGAGCAAUCCGCUGUAAGAUGGGCUCGCGUCCGAUUAGAUAGUUGGCGGGCAACGGCCCACCAAGUCGACGAUCGGUAGCCGGACUGAGAGGUUGAACGGCCACAUUGGGACUGAGACACGGCCCAGACUCCUACGGGAGGCAGCAGUGAGGGAUAUUGCACAAUGGGCGAAAGCCUGAUGCAGCCAACGCCGCGUGAGGGAUUGACGGUUUUCGGAUUGUAAACCUCUGUCUUCGGUGAUGAUAAUGACAUUAGCCGAGGAGGAAGCCACGGCUAACUACGUGCCAGCCGCUGC